rnacentral:rRNA from 1 species
CCUACGGGGUGCAGCAGUGAGGAAUAUUGGUCAAUGGACGAGAGUCUGAACCAGCCAAGUAGCGUGAAGGAUGACUGCCCUAUGGGUUGUAAACUUCUUUUAUAUGGGAAUAAAAUGUUCCACGUGUGGGCUUUUGUAUGUACCAUAUGAAUAAGGAUCGGCUAACUCCGUGCCAGCAGCCGCGGUAAUACGGAGGAUCCGAGCGUUAUCCGGAUUUAUUGGGUUUAAAGGGAGCGUCGGUGGAUUGUUAAGUCAGUUGUGAAAGUUUGCGGCUCAACCGUAAAAUUGCAGUUGAAACUGGCAGUCUUGAGUACAGUAGAGGUGGGCGGAAUUCGUGGUGUAGCGGUGAAAUGCUUAGAUAUCACGAAGAACUCCGAUUGCGAAGGCAGCUCACUGGACUGCAACUGACACUGAGGCUCGAAAGUGUGGGUAUCAAACAGGAUUAGAUACCCGAGUAGUC